GGGGAGUUAGCUGAAGUGGUAGAGCACUUUAUUUGCAUGCAAGAGAGAGUGGGAUCAAUACCCACAUUCUCCA
rnacentral:tRNA from 1 species